rnacentral:misc_RNA from 1 species
AACGCAUAUUGCGCCCUUUGGUAUUCCGAAGGGCAUGCCUGUUCGAGCGUCAUUAUCACCCCUCAAGCUCGGCUUGUUGUUGGAACGUGGUGCCCGCAGUGCGGGCCGCCCUUCCCAAAGAUAAUGACGGCGUCUGCGAGGAUUCCUGUACACUGAGCUUUCGGGCACGUACUAGGCUUACUCCUCCGGACCCCGGUCGCACGUAAAUCUUACACUUCUAAGGUUGACCUCGGAUCAGGUAGGGAUACCCGCUGAACUUAA